rnacentral:lncRNA from 1 species
GCUGCUUUUGAAGGCAGCCUUUAGCUUUGGUGAAGUUGUGUUUUUUGCCGUUUGAUUAAGCAAGAUAUUACAUGCCUCAGUUUAUUGUAUUAUCAUAUAAAAUAGUAUAAAUAUAAAUUUGUGAACAAUUUCACUCAAGUUCAGAGAAAGGUUUCACUUGUAAGUUUCUUUCAGAGGACUACGUUUGUGACUGUAUUUAAAAAACAAAAAUCCAAUCUAACCUCUUUAGGAUCAAGACACUCUCUGGUGCAGGAAUGCUGCUUUUUGCUGCACUAUUCAUGUUUGGCCAACCUUCAAAUGUGGGGUCCACAGAGGUGACCUAUUGGGCAGAGAUCAUGAUUGAGGGAAAUAAAACCUUAAAUGUGGGAGUCUAUCUGCCUGGACUUAUAGGGACUGUUCUGGAUACAACGGGAGUAACUAUCACAGGCGCUGAAAUAGCAGCAGAGUGUGAGAUAAUUGGCCAAAACUCAACAUGCUGGUGUGGAACAGACUAUGUUUGGAGCAAUCUUGUGUGUGACAGUGUAAAUAAAUGCUGCAAUGUGCAACAAUGUGUGGCAAAUAUAUCAACCUACACACCUCUGUGUCUGCCCAAAAUGAACGUUUCACUCAUUGGCAUGCUCACUGGGAGCAACGCAACAGUCGAAGCCACGUUGCUGAGUGCUUUUAAUGUGCUGAAUGCCUUCAACUCACUGACUAUCCAAAGCACCACUUACACAGGGUUAAGUACGUACGCUCACAAUUUCACAGUGUCUCUUAGUUCUGUGUUUUCCACCAGCAAAGUCCAAGGCAUAAUUGCUACGCUGUUGACGCAAAAAUCAGUUUACAGUCUCAGUGUUAGGUCUCUAGGCAUGGUAUACAUGGAGGCACCUACAGGAAAAGUGUGUUAUAAUUCAAAACAACAACUGAACUGUACCAGUAUCGAAGCUAUGAGCAAGUGCGUGUGGCAGAUGUCCAGAGAUGAUGAGGACCCUUUGAUUCUGGGACCAGGAAGUGAAGUACAGCUGUCAGAUACUUGUACAGAUCUCUCAACAGUCACACUGCUCAAGACAAAUGGAUACUGGUCAGGAAUAUACAGCUGCCUUUUUGUCUCAGGGAACUUAGCUCACAUGGCCAUAGCACCUAUUCAAAUUGCACUGCUGCCAGAGGUCAUUAAUGUGACAAGCAAUCCACAAACUGCAGACUGUUCUGCAUCAACAUCCACCCAAGUCAGCAUCGCAUGUACCAUCGAAAACAGCACUGAAACCUACACAGCCAAGCUAAAACUCGGAAAUACUGAAAAUUCAGCAAGUAAAGCAGAAAUCAAUGGAAUAAUCAGUUAUACAGCGGUAUUCAGUGUUGACUGUGUAGCGGCAAGCAAACCAAGUUCACUUGAUGCCAGUUGCACUUUAGAGAACUCUUUGGGUCAGCUGCGAAAUCAAACAAUAAAAGUACCAAUCAUUUACCGUAAGUACUGAAAGUCAUGUUUUACUAAUGCAAGUGUAUAUGUCAUUGUCCAAAACCCUUUGGUUACUGGCAAAGUAAUAGAAAAAAAAAAAAUGAAUGGAUGAUUCAUUUUGUUUGUUUGUUUGUUUGUUUUUAUAGCCAGUGACAUGUUUUGUGCAGAGGACAAAAUUGAUGAUAGAAUAUGGCCAAAAACAAAGAAUAAUGAAACAGCCAGUAUAGAUUGCACUGCGCCUGGGAGACAGGGCAUAAUGAAACGCAAAUGCAAUGGAAAACAAUGGGGGGAAGAAGUCUCUCUGUGUGUUAAAGCAAUCCUGAAUAGUGUAGCUUUGCAAGCAAAGGUAUGCAAAUCUAGAAGAGGUAAUCAUAGCAUCUGAACUGUGCCUUUAUUGUGGAAAUGUCUCAUUUUGAUCUCUCUCCAGGAUUUUGAAAAAGGACUUGGAGCAACACAAGAAGGCGCUCAGCUUAUCUUUCAGAGCUUGAAAAAUAACACAGUUGAUGACAGUGACAACACUUUUGGUGAUGUCAAGGCAGCAGUUUCUGUUUUCGAAACUAUGAACAAGGCAUCAGCAAACAUGCCACUAGGCGAGAACCUUCUUGCAGUAAGCAUUUCAUCCAUUUCACUUACUUUUGAUAAAUAUAUAAUUAGAUAAUUAAAAAAACUGAUUAACACAGUAUAUUAAAUCAAUAUAAUUUCAUCAUGUUACAGUCUUGAAAUGCAUCUCAGGUUCCAUCAUUAUCAAAAUUGUUAAUAUAUUCACAGUUACAAGUUACAGUAAAAAAAAAAAAUCUAUUCUUUAAGCUCUAUUCACAGUUACCAGUUACAGUAAAAACAAAUCUGUUCUCUUAUAGGAUU